rnacentral:tRNA from 1 species
GGGGAUGUAACUCAGUGGCAAAGUGCUUGACUAGCAUGCAUGAAACCCUGGGUUCAAUUUCCAGCAUUGCAA